rnacentral:rRNA from 1 species
GAUGAACGCUGGCGGCGUGCUUAACACAUGCAAGUCGAACGAAGCACUUUAACCUGAUUCUUCGGAUGAAGGUUUUUGUGACUGAGUGGCGGACGGGUGAGUAACGCGUGGGUAACCUGCCUCAUACAGGGGGAUAACAGUUAGAAAUGACUGCUAAUACCGCAUAAGACCACAGAGCCGCAUGGCUCGGUGGGAAAAACUCCGGUGGUAUGAGAUGGACCCGCGUCUGAUUAGGUAGUUGGUGGGGUAACGGCCUACCAAGCCAACGAUCAGUAGCCGACCUGAGAGGGUGACCGGCCACAUUGGGACUGAGACACGGCCCAAACUCCUACGGGAGGCAGCAGUGGGGAAUAUUGCACAAUGGGGGAAACCCUGAUGCAGCGACGCCGCGUGAGCGAAGAAGUAUUUCGGUAUGUAAAGCUCUAUAAGCAGGGAAGAAAAUGACGGUACCUGACUAAGAAGCACCGGCUAAAUACGUG